rnacentral:lncRNA from 12 species
CAGGGAAUGUGAAAUUUCUAUAAUUGCAGCAAUGGGCACAGUAAAACAAGAGUACAGAUGAUUACAGUUUGCACAACGUGAAUGGAAGUUUGUUUUCCCAUAGUGCAGCAGAAAUACAGAAGUAGAUUUAAUUUCCAGAUGAAGUAACUUAUUAGGACAACUGGUUUCACACACAAAAGGUAUGAGUGAAUAUUGGCUUUGAGUUCUAUUUUUUCCAGUGCUUUGAGAUUUGUGACUAAUGUUUGCAUUGUAGAGAGG